rnacentral:rRNA from 1 species
GACGGAGGGUGCAAGCGUUGUUCGGAAUUACUGGGCGUAAAGCGCGGGCAGGUGGCCUUUUAAGUCCUUUGUGAAAUUCCGGAGCUCAACUCCGGACAUGCAUAGGAUACUGGAAGGCUAGAGACUGGUAGAGGCGAGCGGAAUUCCUGGUGUAGCGGUGGAAUGCGUAGAUAUCAGGAGGAACACCGAUGGCGAAGGCAGGUCUCUGGGCCACUACUGACGCUGAGAAGCGAAAGCAUGGGGAGCGAACAGG